rnacentral:lncRNA from 1 species
AAACACCACAUUCACAUGACUUUUAUUACAGUAUAUUGUUAUAACUGUUGUUUUACUGUUAUUGUUGUUACUGUACCUCAUUUAUAAUUUAAACUUUAUCAUAUAUAUGUACAGAAAAAACAUAGUAUAUGUAGGGUUCAGCAUUAGCCAGUUUCAGGCAUCCACUGGGGGUCUUGGAACAUAUCCCGUUGAUAACGGGGGAGUAGUGGAUUUUGUAGAUUUGGUUAACAUCUACGAUCAGUUAAGUAAUGAUUACCAUUGAUACUGUGGGUGGGCCUCAACCAAUCAGUUGAAAGCCUCAAGAGGAAAACAGAUUUCCCUGAAGAAAUCCCACCAGUGUCAGCUCUUGUUUCAUGAAUUUUAGGCUUGCCUAACCAGCCCUCAUAAUUGUGUGAUCCAAUUCCUUGCCACAUAUAAAAGCAAGCAGACGAAAUGACUUAACCCGGUUCACAGGCCUUUGUCACUGGCUACCACAGCAAUGGCAUAAUGGGCACAAGACUUUUCCUACCCACCCCUCCUUCCUAUUUCUUCUCCAGAGGUUAGAUCUGUAUCAUAGUCUGACAGCUUUCCCAGACUCCUCGACCCUCCCCUACUACAUCCCCCACAAACUCUCCAACUCUCCUGCAUGUCUAACCGAGGGUCCAAAUUAACACAAAGGGAAGUCCAACUUAGUGCACUCACUAUUAAAGCUCUGGUCUUUCAUUUUGCAGGGUCAGAAAUUCAACCUUUCAUAAUUUACCAGGGAGUAUUUAUUAAAGGUCCUGUGACCUAGUUCCUACCAAACUCGUUAAGAGACUGAUAGAUAAAGGAGAAAGCUAAAAGGUAGCCUGGUAUGUCUGGAAUACAAAAAGGAAGCUGGCUAGCCAAAAAGUAGAAACAACCCACAUGUCCACUCACUGAUGAGUGCAUAAACAAAAUGUGCUCUAUCAAUACAAUGGGAUAUGAUACAGCCAUAAAAAGGAAUGAAGUACUGAUACAUGCUACAAUGUGGAUGGAUCUCAAAAACACUACAUUAGGCCAGGUGUGGUGGCACACGCCUGUAAUCCCAGAACUUUGGGAGGCCAAGGCAGGCAGAUCACUUGAGGUCAGGAGCUCAAGACCAGCCUGGCCAACACGGUGAAACCCCAUCUCUACUAAAAUACAAAAAUAAGCUAGGUGUGGUGGUGCAUGCCUGUAAUCCCAGCUACUCAGGAGGUUGAGGCAGGAGAAUGGCUUGAACCCAGGAGGCAAAGGUUGCAGUGAGCUGAGAUUGCACCAAUGCACUCCAGUCUGGGCGACAGAGUGAGACUCCAUCUCAAAUUUAAAAAAAAAAAAAAAAAAAAAAAAAAAAAACCACUACACUAAGUGAAAGAAGCCAGACACAAAAGGCCACAAUUGUGUAAUUCCAUUUUUAUGAAAGAUCCAGAAUAGGCAAACCCAUAAACAGGAAGUCCACUGGUGGUUGCUAGGGACAGGGAGGAGGGAGGAAACGGGGAGCUCUUGUUUAAUGGCUACAGGGUUUCAUUUUGGGAUGAUAAAAAAUGUUUUGGAACUAGACAGAGGCAAUGGUUACACAACACUGUGGAUGUUCAGUACCAAAUGCCACUGAAUUGUUCCCUUUAAAAUGGUUAACUUUAUGUUAUGUGAAUUUCACCUAAAUACAAAUAAAUAAUAAAUACAUUGCAAGGAAAAAAUGUGGAAAGAGGCAUAUCGAACAAAAAAGUUUUAAUGAAAAAGAAAAGACAUUAAAAAGUUCUGCAAACAGGAAGGUUUGGGCAUGGA